rnacentral:sRNA from 1 species
GCUGGGCACAGUGGUGCAUGCCUGUAACCCCAGUGGCUUUGGAGGCUGAGACAGGAGGAUCUUGAGUUCAAAGCUAGCCUCACCAAAAGUGAGGCGCUAAUCAACUCAGUGAGACCCUGUCUCUA